rnacentral:lncRNA from 1 species
CAGGCUGUGGUCUCACAAGGGCAGGUUCAGGAGGUGGCUCAAUGCUAAUGUAGCAUGUGCCGGAUUUCUGGGAAGGCGGCCAUGACCGAGAAACUGCACAGGGCUCUGCUGCCCCAGCAACCAACCUCCCUGUGGGCCUGCAGAGGGUCUUCUAUCUGGAAAGUAUUGAGUGGAGCUCCCCGAGAGCACUUGGUGUCUGCUCAAACGCCUGCAUACUUGAAUGUCUGUCUUGUGCUCUGAGGGAUGCUAGAGAGAUUGUGGAGGUGAGACUGUGCAGGGCUUUCUUCUGUCCUGACGAGAGGCGCCUCCUCCAGGAGUUUUUGGUUGUGAUACCAAAAGCUACAAACCAUACCACAUCAAACCAAAUGCUCUACGCAGAAAAGAAACAACCAACCAGAUGAAGGGCAACUCAGGAUGGGAGAAAAUAUUUGCCCACUGUAUAUGCAAUAAGGAAUUAUCAUAAAAUGAUGCAAGAAAUCUAUAAAGCCCACCAACAAGGACU